UACGGAGGGGGCAAGCGUUGUUCGGAAUUACUGGCGUAAGGGCUCGUAGGCGGCCAACUAAGUCAGACGUGAAAUCCCUCGGCUUAACCUGGGAACUGCAUCCGAUACUGGAUGGCUUGAAUCCGGGAGAGGGAUGCAGAAUUCCAGGUGUAGCGGUGAAAUGCGUAGAUAUCUGGAGGAAUACCGGUGGCGAAGGCGGCAUCCUGGACCGGCAUUGACGCUGAUGAGCGAAAGCUAGGGGAGCAAACGGG
rnacentral:rRNA from 1 species